CGCAUAUUUUGCCCAGGCGGAGCUCGACCGCCCGUUCAAGCGAUGACCGCCUUCAUUGACGACCAUCGUGACGAGUAUGGGGUCGAGCCGAUCUGCCGGGUUCUGCCGAUCGCCCCA
rfam:Sphingomonas sanxanigenens NX02, complete genome.